CAGCAUAAUAUUAUAUCAAUUCGUUCUGUAAACUAUAAAAAUAUAAUAAUAUAUUUAAAUAAUACUUAUCUUCUUAUUUUCAAAGCAAAACUAUGGGUAAUUUAUCAAGUAGGAAAGAUAUUAUGACGAUCGGUAAAACAUCGUCGUGUGGCCUUACCGAUUACUGGAACCAAAAAAGACAAGAUUUUAACAAUAUCUACUUAAAUAAUAAUAAUUCCCCACCAGCUGAUCCGUCGGAUUUUAAUGUGACAACCAUAUUGGACAAAGGAAGUUUCGGAUCUGUCGCAUUGACUACUCACAAUAUAACUGGUACUGUUCACGCUACAAAAGUAAUUGCUAAAAAGAAGAUCGUUAAAGAUAAUUAUGUUGAGAGAAUGCUUAACGAGAAACGGAUUUUGGAAUCAAUCAAUUUUCCGUUUGUCAUUCGUCUCGAGUAUUUCUAUCAAGACAACAGUUUUAUUUACUUUGUCAUGCCGUUCGUGUGCGGUGGUAAUAUUCACACGCACAUGAAACGGCACGGAUCGAUGGACGAGGACAAAGCGCGGUUUUACUUUUCGGAAGUUCUGUUGGCUGUUGAAUACCUGCACAAGUUGGACUUGGUGCAUCGUGAUAUCAAGCCCGAAAAUAUACUAAUCGAUAUCAACGGACAUGCUCAACUCGCAGACUUCGGGUUUUGUAAACACUUAAAGGGUCGUACGUACACGUUUUGUGGCACUGCCGAAUACUUGGCGCCGGAAAUUAUACACAGAAAAGGAUACGGAAAAGCGGUCGACUAUUGGUCGCUCGGCGUUCUCCUAUAUGAGAUGUUGGCCAACCGUUCGCCGUUCGUCGAUUAUCGUGACCCCGGGAAGCUGUUCAGUAACAUCGUGAACGGGGAGUACAGUUGUCCGUUGGGCUUUUCGGGCAACGUGAUGAACCUGUUGCGGAACAUACUCAAGGUGGACGUGACCAGGCGGUACGGGAAUUUGGCAAACGGCAUCCGAGACAUUAAGAAACACAAGUGGUUCGGUGACAUGGACUGGUGCGCGGCAUUCAACAGGAGCGUGACACCACCGUACGUGCCGGAAAUCAGCGACACCUUCGACACUAGCAACUUUGAAAAGCAACAUGGCAAGCUGUUCUAUGGCGCCAGCAAAGACAUGUUCGGUGACAUUUUUAAGGACUUUUGAGUUUUGAGAUCGUAGGACCCAGUUUUAGACGGUGUUUUUUUUUAUGGUGUGAAUACAUUAUUUUAGAUCAAAAAUUGCAAUGACAUCAUGUUGAAAAUAAUUUUCCACUGUCUAGACCAGCGUUUCCCAAACCAUGGGUCGCGAAGUUUUUCUUAUGGGUCGCGACUCGCGGUUACAAUUAUUACGCGGGGGAUCGUUACCCAACAAAGAUUAAAUGUAUGGGUCGUCAUUGCAAAAAGAUUGGGAAAUACUGGCCUAGACCAAAAUGGUAUUACUUUCCCGAGUUAACAAUCCACAU